rnacentral:rRNA from 1 species
CUACGGGACGCACCAGUGAGGAAUAUUGCACAAUGGGGGAAACCCUGAUGCAGCAACGCCGCGUGGAGGAUGACGCAUUUCGGUGUGUAAACUCCUUUUAUGAGUCAAGAAAAUGACGGUAGCUCAUGAAUAAGCACCGGCUAACUCCGUGCCAGCAGCCGCGGUAAUACGGAGGGUGCAAGCGUUACUCGGAAUCACUGGGCGUAAAGGACGCGUAGGCGGGAUGUCAAGUCAGGUGUGAAAUCCUAUGGCUCAACCAUAGAACUGCACUUGAAACUGGCAACCUAGAGUAUGGGAGGGGGGGAUGGAAUUAGUGGUGUAGGGGUAAUAUCCGUAGAUAUCACUAGGAAUACCGAAAGCGAAGGCGAUCUCCUGGAACAUUACUGACGCUAAGGCGUGAAAGCGUGGGGAGCAAACAGGAUUAGAUACCCUCGUAGUC